rnacentral:lncRNA from 7 species
UUUUUUUUUUUUUUUUCAGCAGUAGUACAUGCUAAUAAAGUAUUGAGUAGACAAAAGACUCGUCAUCACGUCGUCGUCCACGUCGGUAGAAUUGCACAUAUAGUAUACCUCUGUAUGUGUCUUGAGAGACCAGGGAGAGAGAUACCAGCUUGUACAGAUCGCCAGCGCCAACACUGCUGAUCCUGUGCUUUCGUUGGUUUGUGCCGGUGUACGUACGUGACUUCACGGAUCAUGAUAGAUUGAUAGCUAGCUAGGGGGAGCUAGCUUCGAGUGUGUGCCGCUUAAAUUUGUUCAUAUCUUUAAGCUGCAGACGCGAGCUAGCAGGGAUUCAUUCAAUCCAGCCG